rnacentral:rRNA from 1 species
AACGUAGGUGGCGAGCGUUAUCCGGAUUUACUGGGCGUAAAGGGUGUGCAGGCGGGGUAUCAAGUGGUGUAUGAAAGGGCGCGGCUCAACCGCGCUAGGUUAUGCCAGACUGAUGCUCUUGAGGACCAAACAGGGCUGUGGAAUUCCAGGUGUAGCGGUGAAAUGCGUAGAUAUCUGGAGGAACACCGGUGGCGAAGGCGACAUCCUGGACCGGUAUUGACGCUGAGGCGCGAAAGCCAGGGGAGCAAACGGG